GUUGGAUGUAUCAGCCUUCCCUUAAAUGGCAGGGGGCUGGUUCAUGUUACCUCCUGUCAGCCUCGGGGAACAGCCAAGGUUUGCUAUAAAGGAUCUGCAGAGGCAUAAACGAGAAAUGACCCAGUGUUCCCACUACCGUCAUUACUGCAGUUGCUGGGCGGGACAGAGAAGCCUUCACACCUGCUGUGUGCCCGUGGCUACGGGGUGGUGCCGAGACCCCAUGGCUGGGUUCUAAGGAGCGAUCAGACGUUGAGAGCAGCGGGCCGGGCUGGGCUGGGCGGAACCAGGACCUCACGGAGGACUCGGAGCUGCCGCCACCUCGAAGGUCCCUGCUGCUCACCUGGACUCUGGAGAAGUCCUCUCCCCUCACUCCACAGCUCCUCACCUUGCUCCAGCUGGAAAAUCACGUCUGCUCUGCAAUGAUGGCACCCUGUUCACAGGGAAUGGCAUCCCUGGACGCACCCGACGACAUCACCGUGUCCCUCUGGGACUGUAAUGUCCCGUUCCUGGCUCUAAUGUUUAAGGAGCAUGGGGAAUAAAGGGUCCAAGGAGAUGCCUUUCAGGUGAGAACACGCUGAGCACUGAGUUCUGUAUGCUCACUGGCCCGGGCCGUCCGGAAUUCCCCAGCCCCUCCCUGACCCAGGCCACGUGGACACACCGGCUUCCACCUGCAGCGAACACUGGCGACCUCCUGGAUUUCACCGCCCGCCCCACGCCCUGCCAGGAUCAGCCCACUGGCGCCCUACCCCUUCCUGCUCCCGGCCCCCACGGGCUGGACACCAAGUGACUGCUGGACGGCGGGGUUCAUCGGCGCAAGUACUUAGUUCACUGGAGGGAUCACUGGCCCAUCCUGCCAGCCUCAGCCCUCACAGCCCUGCAGCAGGGCGUGGCAGUCGCCGAGUCCCAGCAUCACUCUCAGCACCGCCUCCACCUCUGGUUCCUCAGUCUGAGGUCGGCUGGUAGCUGAAAUCCUCCCGAUCCCCAAUCCUGUCCCGUCUUGAUCGUCAUGAGCGGCAGCACCCCUUUCCAUUAUACACACGUACGUGUCCAUGCCAACACAAGUAUAUGCAUACACGUGAGAGAGAACAUUUAUAUACAUAUUCUCCCCUAAAAUGUCAGUAACAAGUGUAGUUCAUGAAAAAACGGUAAUGUGUCAUAAACAAAAGUAGUAAAAUUAACUCACCCAUUUGUACUUGUCCAGAAAAAAAAAAAGAUAAGCUGGUAUCAAAGGUGGCUUUGCACUUGGAUAUUCACCAUGUAUUUGCUUAUUCAGCCCUCAAAUAAACCUGGCGAUUUUGGCUUAUUUACCAAUUUAACAAAUGACAUGAACAGACAGGUUCAGAAAACUUUGGUCAUGUAAGUUUCACAGCUAGAAAGUAAUACGUCUGUCAUUUUAAUCUUGCUCUGCCUCCAAUGCUUAAAUUCCUAAUUAAUCAUCACAGGCCCCAGCCUGUUACCACCUCUUACUCUUUCACAACAUCACAUCUGUCCUCAGGAACCCCCUUCAGGUCUCAGACAUCGGGCCCGCUCUCUCCAUUUUUCCUGUCCAGUUUAAUCACACUUUCUCAUUUCAACAGACCAGCAUUUUUCUUACGUCCUUUGGACUAUUCUCCACGUUUCCCCAUCAAGAUCCCAGCAACAGGCGACUCCAUGUACCUGUGUUUCUGUGAUGCCUCUGACACAUGCAAAAGAGGAGCUGGUCCCUGUCUAGACACAGAAUCACUACUGAGAGUGGCUCUCAAAUACAGCUGAAUGUCACAGCGCUGGAAUUGUGCAGCACGCAGCCCUUCAGAUUGGCUUCUUCUACUCAGUAAUAUGCACUUAAGGUUCCUCCAGGGCUGGACAGCACGUUUCUUUUUACUGUUACGUACCAUUCCGCUGUUUGGAUAUUCUAUGGUUUAUUUAUCCAGCACCUACUGAAGGGCAUUCUGGUUGCUUCUCAGUUUUGGCAACUAUGAAUAAAGCUUCUAUAAAACAUUCACAUGCAGAUUUUUGAGUGGACAUGUUUUGCAACUCAUUUCGAUAAAUAAGUAAGAAGCAUGAGUGCUGGGUCAUAUGGUAUGACUAUGUUAAACUGUAAGAAACUGGCAGACUAUCUUCCAAAGUGGCUGUGCCACUUGGCAUUGAACCAGCAGUGAAUGAGCGCUCCUGCCGCUCCACAUCCUCACUGGCCUUGGGUGUUCUCAGUAUUCUGGAUGUUUCCCAUUCUAAUAGAUGUGUAGUGGUAUCAUGUUUUCAUUUUAAUUUGUAAUUCCUUAAUGACACCAUGUUGAGCACCUUUCCAUACGCUUAUUUCUCAUC